AACGAACGCUGGCGGCAUGCCUAACACAUGCAAGUCGAACGAAGUGGCGCACGGGUGCGUAACGCGUGGGAAUCUGCCCUUGGUUCGGACUAACAGCUGGAAACGGCUGCUAAUACCGGAUGCCAGAGGAUGAGCCCGCGUGGGAUAAGGUAGUUGGUGGGGUAAAGGGCUACCAAGGGGACGAUCCCUAGCUGGUCGGAGAGGAUGAGCAGCCACACUGGGAGUGAGACACGGCCCAGACUCUUACGGGAGGGAGGAGUGGGGGAUAUUGGAAAACGGGCGAAAGCCUGAACCAGCAAGGCCGGGUGAGUGAUGAAGGCCCUAGGGUUGUAAAGCUCUUUUACCCGGGAAGCGGUACCGGGAGAAUAAGCCCCGGCUAACUCCGUGCCAGCAGCCGCGGUAAUAC
rnacentral:rRNA from 1 species